rnacentral:tRNA from 1 species
GUCCCCGUAGCUCAGCUGGAUAGAGCAUCGGUUUUCUAAACCGACGGUCGCGUGUUCGAGUCACGCCGGGGACGCCA